rnacentral:rRNA from 1 species
AUGUGGGGGGACCUCGGCGGCAGCGGCAGACGCGGCAUGCUGCAGGUCAAUACCUCCAGUGCAUGCACGAGAUGUAUCACACAAGGGAUUUUGGAAUGGAAUGAGUACCUGAACGGCAGCGUUGACAGAGGUGAACUUUGGGAUGAUGAUCGGCGAGGCGUUGGCAGAGGAGUUCAUAAAGGGAGAGUUGAGCAGGUCUCGUCACAAAGAACAAGGAAGUUCAGAGAAAAUCUUAGCAGCCGUUCUCCUCUGUUUUCAGUAGCAGAAAUGCAGAAAUUGAACACACGUGCUCGUGUGGAUGUUCUCCGGGGGCUCGAUCAGGUACCGGGUGUGGUCGAGCGCAGGGUUGCGGGUCGGUGGAUCACCGGAUGUUGCACCGGGAUGCUAGGCGGCGGGAUGCGUCGCGCCGGUGCGUGCUGA